GCAGAAAAUGCUGCUCCCUGCCGCUAGGAGGCCCUCUGGCUGUGUUAACAGUCCACAGUCCCGGUCCUUGGGAAUCAGCCCUGAAUACAAUUUGAACCCACAGUUGUCUCCCAGGAUUUUCUGCUGUAUUUUCUUGGGCAUACAAUGGAAGGCUGGAGGUGGAGGGAUUCCAAUUCAAAGUUUGCCCUUGUCAGGAGUUCGUGAUGAAACCAAACGCAGCCAUUUGCUGGGAAUUUCCUUUUCUCUAAAACUGUCUCCAGGUUGAUGGGGGCCGUGGGAAUGGAUGGAGCAUCAGUGUCUUGGCCAUCUUGGGGUCAAACACUAAUCACAGCCUCCUAUAAGAAGGGGCUGAGCCAAGGCAUUCCCAGGAAAAUGUGGGCUUCUUUGCUGAAAGGCUGUUGUUCCCUAAGGGAUUUUCUGUUCUCCAAAGUCCACACCCCUCUGGCUACAAGAAUGGAGUUCUGUUGGAAUAGGAAGAUGGACAAAACCAGGAGGUACACGCACCCUUUCAAGGAGGCAAACCUCUGCCUAUUCCCACUUACCCUCAGUGUCCCCCAACUUGCAGUGGGGUGUAGAGGGGAUGAAAUGGAGGUAGAGGCUGGCUGCCAGCUGCUGAUGUAGCAAGAAGAAGGAGCAUACAGGUGUGAAGCUGCAAGGAGACAGGAGUUGGGGCUGAGAAGUUCUGGUGGAGAAGCCCAGAUGGGUCCAGGCUAGGAGGUAGUACCAGACGUGACUGUGGGGGAUGUGUGUUAGUGUGUGCACGUAUGCUUGCAUGCAUAUAUGUGUAUGCACAUGCGUGUGCCUGUGUGUGUUUGUCUCCUGAAGACAGUGAGACACAGACAGAACUAGCAAAGAACUUCACAAGUCCCAGAGCUCUGUCGAAGAAAGUGCCCUCCAUGCUCACCUGGCUCCUUCCUGGCUUGGCGGGCUCACGUGUAAGUGGAAAUUAUAUUUGUUUCCCUACCUGCCUCCCAUGGCUGUUGUAAACAUUAGACAAGAAAGUGAAUACAUAAAAUUAUGAAGGUGAAAUGCUUGGGAAAGUGGAAACUGAGAUUGCAAGGUGACUCUGAGUAGAGAUUUUCUGAUGCUCCCCCUUCCUAGCUGGACCAUUUGGGGACACCUCAGAGUGUCGUUGUGGUCUCAGCACAUAUCCUGAAUAUUUCCAGACAGCAUCAAGUUCAAAUUAAUGCAAUGAAGCAGAUGAGGUGGACAGGCUGUAGAGCUGAGCAGCAGAGGUCCCUCCUGCCAGGGCGUGGCCACGCUGUCGUCCCUCUUUCCAUCCUGCUGCCUCCCUAGUUUCCCCAGCCUUCAAGACUGGACUCUGCAGAGUGGGAUGUGGGAAGCACAUGUCUUUAUUUUAGAAAACCACAUUUCAUCUGGAGUUUCCAGGCAGGAGUUCCCCACGUAGAGAAUGUAAAAGACGAACAACAGGUGUGGCUUGCUCCCAGUGGACUGCAGAGCAUUGCUUCUCACACGUGCCAGGAGGAUGGGUUUAUGGAUCACCUCAUCUAGGUCUAAGGAAAUCAUUCCCUUCAAAAAGUGGGUUGCAAAGAGUCCUGAGAAGAAGAUUGGAGAUUGAAGAUGUUACACGUAAUGCAAACAGGUGCUAGCAACAAGAAAACCAACAGAACUUCCCGUGCCCAGGACAAGUUCUUCACCAGCUACAUUAAAUAGUAAAAACAGCCAGACACAUCAAAAAGAUUCUAACUGGGUUUGACAAGAAGUGGGCAAAAAGUGUCAGCCUUAUUAAGAAGCCUACAUGAGAUAUGGAUUUACACUCUCUAUUCUGUUUGAAAAUCAGUGGUAUUGAGGGGUAGUUUACAUAGAACAGCAUGCACUCAUUUUAAUAAUCUGUAGAUGUGUUUGACAAGUCACCUGGGUAAUCGCCCCCAUAAUCAGGAUAUGUUAUGAUUUCUUCAUCCCAAAGGGUUCUUCCCUGUUUCUUUGUCUUCCCCACUUUUAGCCCUAGGUGAAUAUUGAUCUGCUUUCUCUUCUGUCCGUGUGAUGAAUUUCAUACAAAUGGAAUCACACAGUUUGUCCUCUUUUGUGUCUGGCUUUUUUCGCUCAGCAUAAGGACUUGGAGAUUCGUUCCUGUUGUGUGUAUAGAUAGAUAAAGUCUUUCUUACUGUGAAGUAGUGUUCCAGUGUUAGGCUAUGCCACAAUUGUUCUUUCACCCAUCUGUUGAUGGAACUUUUGUACCCAGAUUUAGCUCCUAUGAAUAAAGUGUUACAAACAAUCAUGGACACAUUUGUGUGUGUGUGAACCUAAUUUUUCAAUCUCUUGGAUAAUACCUGGGAAUGGAAAUUCUUGGUAAGUGCAGGCAGGGAACAGCCAAACUAUUUUUCAAAGUGGUUGUACCAUUUCACGCUCUGCCAAUAAUAGAUGAGAGUUAGUUGGUUUCCCC
rnacentral:lncRNA from 1 species